UACGGGGGGGGCAAGCGUUGUUCGGAAUUACUGGGCGUAAAGGACUUGUAGGCGGCCAACUAAGUCAGACGUGAAAUCCCUCGGCUUAACCGGGGAACUGCGUCUGAUACUGGAUGGCUUGAGUUCGGGAGAGGGAUGCGGAAUUCCAGGUGUAGCGGUGAAAUGCGUAGAUAUCUGGAGGAACACCGGUGGCGAAGGCGGCAUCCUGGACCGACACUGACGCUGAUGAGCGAAAGCCAGGGGAGCAAACGGG
rnacentral:rRNA from 1 species